GCGAACGCUGGCGGCAGGCUUAACACAUGCAAGUCGAGCGGGCACUUUCGGGUGUCAGCGGCGGACGGGUGAGUAACGCGUGGGAACGUGCCCUCUGGUUCGGAAUAACUCAGGGAAACUUGAGCUAAUACCGGAUACGCCCUUUUGGGGAAAGGCUUGCUGCCGGAGGAUCGGCCCGCGUCUGAUUAGCUAGUUGGUGAGGUAACGGCUCACCAAGGCGACGAUCAGUAGCUGGUCUGAGAGGAUGAUCAGCCACACUGGGACUGAGACACGGCCCAGACUCCUACGGGAGGCAGCAGUGGGGAAUAUUGGACAAUGGGCGCAAGCCUGAUCCAGCCAUGCCGCGUGAGUGAUCAAGGCCUUAGGGUUGUAAAGCUCUUUUAUCCGGGACGAUAAUGACGGUACCGGAGGAAUAAGCCCCGGCUAACUUCGUG
rnacentral:rRNA from 1 species